rnacentral:SRP_RNA from 1 species
GCUGGGCAUGGUGGCUCAUGCCUGUAAUCCCAGCACUUUGGGAGGCUGAGGUGGGUGGAUCACUUGAGGUCAGGAGUUCGAGACCAGCCUGGCCAACAUGGUGAAACCCCGUCUCUA